GAUGAAGAACGUAGCGAAAUGCGAUAAGUAAUGUGAAUUGCAGAAUUCAGUGAAUCAUCGAAUCUUUGAACGCACAUUGCGCCCGCCAGUAUUCUGGCGGGCAUGCCUGUUCGAGCGUCAUUUCAACCAUCAAGCCCCAGGCUUGUGUUGGGGACCUGCGGCUGCCGCAGGCCCUGAAAACCAGUGGCGGGCUCGCUGUCACACCGGGCGUAGUAGAUUUUCAUCUCGCUCAGGGCGUGCUGCGGGUUCCGGCCGUAAAAAGCCUUAUUUACCCAAGGUUGACCUCGGAUCAGGUAGGAAGACCCGCUGAACUUAAGCAUAUCAAUAAGCGGAGGA
rnacentral:misc_RNA from 1 species